UUUGGUACUGUCUGUAGCUGGCAUCAAGGUCCAGACCUCCAAAAUCAGAUUUCCUGAUGCAAUAAAGGAUGGAGGGUGAGACCACAUCGUGUAAGGAAGGCUGGUGCUGUGAUUAGUGUGCUUAUCAGGAACUUCUGAGAAACACCAUUUAGCUGCUGUGCCACAGCCCUGCAAAGAAAGCCUCAGAACUGGUACUUCAUAUGGGGAGAGAGGACCAGUGACACUGGGAAUCACUUGAAUGAGAAGCAAAGUGAGAAAUCAGCUGUGAUGAAAGAAAAAAUUCCAUGGAGCCACAAGACAAAAAUCAAGAGAUGGAAAGCUGGAUGGCAGCAUUUCAGUAAGGUGAGGAAAAUGUGUAUGAAACUUGUGAGAUGGUGUUGCAUAUCCAGUACCAGAAGUCCUUGGGCCAGAAGUGCUUCUGCUGUACACCACCAAAAGGGAUCAUCAGUGGAACAACGGAUCAUCAAUUGGGUUUCAACCGCUGGAAGACAGAAAUGGAAAAUAUCUGGCAAUUCUAAAAAAGGAAUGGGUGCAAUCCCUCUGCCAUGGAAGUUUCGCUAGCAAGACAUCUGCCCUUUGCAGACUUUGGAAAACAAAGAUGUGGAAAUAAAUUCAAGUGUGUCUACA
rnacentral:lncRNA from 1 species